rnacentral:lncRNA from 1 species
GUUCACAUUAUUAUUGUUGUAAUAAAAUCUUCACUUGGCUCUAACCUAACAGAGUUUAUCCUCCCAACCUCUAACACUUCCUACCGUUCAUUUGCUGUCCUUAAACAAGGUACUAUAUCUUCCAUAGCUCUCCUGUAUCACUUAGUAGGUCAGUGGCUGUGGGGACAGAGUAAGUCCUACUACUAAGAAUAAUUUUGUCUUUAGAAAUGAAGUCUGGGUACAUUAAAGCCAUGAGUUGGAAAUGUACUAGAAGAUGGCUAAUUUGGAGCUUGAUCUUUGGGAGACAAAAACUAAAACACAGCCCCAUUGAAUGCUAAUAAUGGAACAUAAAGGAAUGAACCUGCAAGAACAAAUAGAACAAGAAAGUGGAAGGAUGACGGCUGACUGGAGCUGUCAAUGCAGUGUUGGGAGUCAGAAAGCAGAUGAACAGGUGGGAACCGACUUUGCAGAACAGAGAAAGCUGAUGCCACUUGACUGCAAGAGACAAAGAAAACAAGAAGGAACGAUUUGCUCCACUGCAACGCUGGGAGUUGGAAGACGUUGGAGGAAUGCCUUCCAAAUUAUGAAAGAAAAUGAUCACUAACCCAGGCUUAUACCUCUUUCAAAUUGUCAGCUAAGUGUUCUGGUACCAAUUCUAAUGUGUGUAUGUGGGCUUCUCCCCACAUCAACAGGCAAGUCUUCACAACACCAGCUGGGUGUCCUAUAAUUUAACUCAAGUCCGACACUAUCUACCUGGAGGCAGCAUCAGAUCCCACAGCUUACGGGCUCUGUUCCACAAGAUUGUUUCUCCUCUCUUCAAAUGCCAAUCACAAGUCUAUGUUUUCAUCUGUGCUUCUGACUCAUUGCCUAUAAAUCAGAGAUUCCUACAACCCCCUCCUCAGGUUUGAGUAAUUUGCUAGAGUGGC